AGCCACAGCCGUAUCACCCUGCAGCCCAAGACUGGUUACUCACUGAAGCUAAGCAGGGCUAAGCCUGGUUAGUACCUGAAUGGGGGACCACAUGGGAAAAUUAGGUUGCUGUUGGAA
rnacentral:rRNA from 1 species